rnacentral:rRNA from 1 species
UACGUAGGUGGCGAGCGUUGUCCGGAAUUACUGGGUGUAAAGGGCGUGUAGGCGGGGAUGUAAGUCAGAUGUGAAAUUCCCAGGCUCAACUUGGGCGCUGCAUCUGAAACUAUAUCUCUUGAGUGCUGGAGAGGAAAGCGGAAUUCCUAGUGUAGCGGUGAAAUGCGUAGAUAUUAGGAGGAACACCAGUGGCGAAGGCGGCUUUCUGGACAGUAACUGACGCUGAGGCGCGAAAGCGUGGGGAGCAAACAGG